UGUGCCGCAGAGUCCGCAAUACUACCCGGUAAAUUCGCUUUUUAUCCCACCGUACGCGUAAGUAUUUGCGAACGGGACGCGGUAAGAGAGGAAAAAAAAAAGAAAAAGAAAACCGCGGCCGCUCCGCCGUUAGAUAGAACACGAUGAUAAUAUAACCGCGAACGGCUCGUUAUCAAUCACGUUCAUGAGCGCUCGGGAGAGGGAGGGG